UACGGAGGGUACGAACGUUAAUCGGAAUUACUGGGCGUAAAGCGCGCGUAGGCGGUUUGAUAAGUGGGAUGUGAAAGCCCCGGGCUUAACCUGGGAACUGCAUUCCAAACUGUCAGACUAGAGUAUGGUAGAGGCUGGAGAAUUUCCUGUGUAGCGGUGAAAUGCGUAGAUAUAGGAAGGAAUACCGAUGGCGAAGGCAGCCAGCUGGACCAAUACUGACGCUGAGGUGGCGAAAAGCGUGGGGAGCAAACAGGGAUUAAGAUACCCCCGUAGUCC
rnacentral:rRNA from 1 species